rnacentral:rRNA from 1 species
UAGGGAAUUUUGCGCAAUGGGCGAAAGCCUGACGCAGCAACACCGCGUGAGGGAAGAAGUUCUUUGGAGCGUAAACCUCUGUCAGUGGGGACGAAUUUUGACGGUACCCACAAAGGAAGCAUCGGCUAACUACGUGCCAGCAGCCGCGGUAAGACGUAGGAUGCAAGCGUUGUCCGGAAUUAUUGGGCGUAAAGAGUUCGUAGGCGGCAUGUCAAGUCUGGUGUUAAAGUCCGGGGCUCAACCCCGGUUUCGCACUGGAUACUGGCAAGCUAGAGUGCAGAAGAGGCAAGGGGAAUUCCCAGUGUAGCGGUGAAAUGCGUAGAUAUUGGGAGGAACACCGGUGGCGUAAGCGCCUUGCUGGGCUGUUACUGACGCUGAGGAACGAAAGCCGGGGGAGCGAAUGGG